AACCGUACCCCAAACCGACACAGGUGGUCAGGUAGAGAAUACUAAGGCGCUUGAGAGAACUCGGGUGAAGGAACUCGGCAAAAUUGUACCGUAACUUCGGGAGAAGGUACGCCUCUGUUUGUGAACACUUCGCGUGGUAAGCAAAUGGAGGCCGCAGUGACCAGGUGGCUGGGACUGUUUAUUAAAAACACAGCACUGUGCAAACACGAAAGUGGACGUAUACGGUGUGACGCCUGCCCGGUGCCGGAAGGUUAAUUGAUGGGGUU
rnacentral:rRNA from 1 species